AUUGAACGCUGGCGGCAGGCUUAACACAUGCAAGUCGAGCGGGGUGAUGGUGCUUGCACUAUCACUUAGCGGCGGACGGGUGAGUAAUGCUUAGGAAUCUGCCUAUUAGUGGGGGACAACAUCUCGAAAGGGAUGCUAAUACCGCAUACGUCCUACGGGAGAAAGCAGGGGAUCACUUGUGACCUUGCGCUAAUAGAUGAGCCUAAGUCGGAUGAGCUAGUUGGUGGGGUAAAGGCCUACCAAGGCGACGAUCUGUAGCGGGUCUGAGAGGAUGAUCCGCCACAAUGGGACUGGGACACGGCCCAGACUCCUACGGGAGGCAGCAGUGGGGAAUAUUGGGCAAUGGGGGGAACCCUGAUCCAGCCAUGCCGCGUGUGUGAAGAAGGCCUUAUGGUUGUAAAGCACUUUAAGCGAGGAGGAGGCUCUUUUGGUUAAUACCCAAGAUGAGUGGACGUUACUCGCAGAAUAAGCACCGGCUAACUCUGUGCCAGCAGCCGCCGUAA
rnacentral:rRNA from 1 species